CAGACAUUUGCCUGGGGUCACGCUUACAGUGGGCAGAUGAACUGGAUGUAAAUACAGGCUGCCCUGGACCAUUCCUCAGAACUCAUGGGAUUUUCGCGACCCUCAUCCUCAGUGAAGUUAGAUGACCAUUCCUGCCUUUCAUCCCACCAAUUUUCCUAAGUAUCUGUUGCCUGCAACUAACACUAGUUCCUGUGUCAGUAAAGUACUGCACUUGGUUGCAAAGAAUAGAAAUGGACUCUGCCAACAUAGGCACGGAAGGUUUACGGGGUGGAUGGCAUGGCUCACAGAUGUGAUGAGAAAGCCCCGGAAGAAGUGUUGGGCACAGCCUUAGGCACAACCUUUCCUGGGCUCUUCGCAUCACUGAAUGAUCCAUGUAUCUCCGGGACUCUCCUUCUAGAUCCAAAGUUUAGGGCGGCGGAAUCGGACUGCUCUGGCCUUUGACACGUGCCUGUGCUUUGCCUGUCACGCUAUGGGGAGAGAGAUGUCAGCUUACAGAAAAUUGAGGUUCUGUGAUUCAGUUUCCCUCUGCGCUCUUAGAAUAAAAGUGCUUACUCAUUGUUUAAA
rnacentral:sRNA from 1 species